rnacentral:miRNA from 2 species
UGUAUUGGAACACUACAGCUC